CCUGUUCUUGCUCUCCAUUUUACAUCCCUGGUCAGUGUUGCUAUUAAUUCCUCUAUAGUACAUUUUUGCAUUUUUUAUCAUCCUAUAUACAUAGCAAUACACUUGUAAAGUGUUAGAUUCAAAAGGUAACUAACUCUAAAGCUAUUAUGGAUCUGGAUCUACUAUGAUUUCAGCAUUCUGACUCCUCGAAGGAUCAUGGGAGUUCCUGUUGUAUGGACCUGUCUAUUGGAGACCUGUCUACUGGCUUGCUGUACACUGUAUUCUUUGGUGUACUGUAUGUUUUGU